rnacentral:rRNA from 1 species
UACGUAGGCAGCGAGCGUUGUUCGGAGUUACUGGGCGUAAAGGGUGUGUAGGCGGUCCCUUAAGUUUGGUGUGAAAUCUCCCGGCUCAACUGGGAGGGUGCGCCGGAUACUGAGGGGCUAGAGUGCGGGAGGGGAAAGUGGAAUUCCUGGUGUAGCGGUGAAAUGCGUAGAUAUCAGGAGGAACACCUGUGGUGUAGACAGCUUACUGGACCAUUUCUGACGCUGAGACACGAAAGCGUGGGUAGCAAACAGG